GCCGAAUUUGAGCCCGGAGGCGAUGACUUUAGAGGUGCGGGAAGGCGUCGAGGUACCGGUCGUCCAGACGCCAGACGCGGUGGUCGGGGUGCUGUUGGCCAGUGGAUUGCGGUAAAUGAGAGGCAUAAAGAUGCUGAGCCAAGUGACAUCACGUCCUGCGAUAUCUCUGAUGGAAGGGACGAGUCGCUUAAAUCUUGAAACGGGACUUAGUCGAAUGCUAGGAGAAAACAUCAACAGGAAUGGAGGAUAAAACAGGCCGACUCAAAGGCAGCAUUUCCAGCGGAGAAAAAACCGGACUACAAGGUUCCAAAGGCACGGUCUUUGGCAUCUCAACUUGAACGUCCAGGCUUGCCAUCGGGAAGUACGCAAAACUCUUCCGUUGGCGCGGCUUUUGAGGAGUCCAAACAGAGGCUCCAUAAUCUAGAUGCUUUGGAAGGAGAAGGCGUGACGACCUCUCUAGAUCUCGAGGAGCUACAAAUUGACGGUCACCGUCGUGAGGGUAACACUCCACAGUUUGACAAGCCGAAGGAGAACCGUUUCAGGACCUCUGAAGAACUAAAGGUAUGCAUAUGCAUAUUCUUAAUAUUGUUAUGUUUUCCAUGUUUUACCAUUUACUCUAUACACCAGAUUUUAAAAUACUCAAAA